UUAGCUCUCUUUGCCUAUUGGCUUAGAUCAAGUGUAGUAUCUGUUCUUUUCAGUUUAAUCUCUGAAAGUUUCCUCUUGGAAACACUUUGAUUAUUCUCAUUUUUGGAUCCCGCAACUUGGCCUCUGUGCUUGCGCAUGCCUCGUUGCACUGUGUCAUCGGGCUUACACUACCCUCGAUCGACGCGAACCCUU
rfam:Penicillium arizonense strain CBS 141311 PENARI_contig001, whole genome shotgun sequence.